UAGCGUAGGGGGCAAGCGUUGUCCGGAAUUAUUGGGCGUAAAGAGCGCGUAGGCGGUCCGGUAAGUCGGCUGUGAAAAUCAAGGGCUCAACCCUUGAAAGCCCGGCCGAUACUGUCGGACUAGAGUCCGGAAGAGGCGAGUGGAAUUCCCGGUGUAGCGGUAGAAAUGCGUAGAGAUCCGGAGGAACACCAGAGGCGAAGGCGGCCCACUGGGCUGCGACCUGACGCUGAACCGCGAAAGCCAGGGAGCGAACGGG
rnacentral:rRNA from 1 species